AUGUGCCAAGUCUUUCUGCUCUUUUUCUAGUCCACAGCAGAGAAGCAAUACAGCAAAUUGACUGCUUGCUGCAUUCUCUCUCCUGUAGCUGUAAGAUGAUGAGCUGUUGCUACCACUGGAAGAGUGCUACUGGGUUUCUGGUGACAAAGUAAGCAGGCACUGAGGUUCCCCUGAGUCCCUUCCAGCUGCAAAUUCUCCUGGCAUGAAGCAGGGUAAUGCUGGAGAGUGAAUGUAUUUUCAGACCAUGUAUACAUGAGGGAGUUGAACGAAGAUUACUGGGCAGCUGGGAUGGCAAUGCUGAGUUAACUCCCUCACUGUUUGGAAGCCCCAGCAAGCCUUGUACUCAUGUCACGGAGAGGAGCAGCAGGAACAUUACAGCAGCAGACCUAGAGAAAUGCCAGAUGCUCUUCUGUGAGCAAAGGGGGAUGAAGCAGCAGGAAAUGAAAGGCGCCUCAUAUCCUGAUGAAUGCAGAGAGGUAGCAAGCUCUGCAAAGCAGGAUUGCCCUUUGGAGCUGCUUGAUAAAGGAAAAUAUGACCAACAAUGUUAUGGAGCUCACAUUUCAGGGAGAGGAACUCUGCAGAGAGCUGCUGCUUCUGAGGCCUUCUGAGUACACUAAAGUAGGAAAGCUCUGAGUAUCAGAAGGGUGGAAGAGGAUUUGUAAUAGGCAGUUCCUAAAUUGAAUGAAGCAAGGUGGUGUGUGGCUGGCUCAUCAUCAGGACAAAAAAUGGUUGCAUUAUGGAGAGGCUAACGUCAUGGAACUUAGGAUAGGUCGGUAGGCAACUGAAUGAGGUGAGAAAAAUGAAUCAUAGAAUGGUUUGGGUUGGAAGGGACCUUUGAAGGCCAUAUAGAUCAACUCCCCUAUAAUAAGCAGGUGCUUCUUCAGCUAUAUCAAGUUGCUCAGAGCCCUGUCUAACGUGACCUUGGGUUUUUCCAUGUGAUCUAC
rnacentral:lncRNA from 1 species